CCUACGGGAGGCUGCAGUCGAGAAUCAUUCACAAUGGGGGCAACCCUGAUGGUGCGACGCCGCGUGGGGGAAUGAAGGUCUUCGGAUUGUAAACCCCUGUCAUGUGGGAGCAAAUUAAAAAGAUAGUACCACAAGAGGAAGAGACGGCUAACUCUGUGCCAGCAGCCGCGGUAAUACAGAGGUCUCAAGCGUUGUUCGUAAUCACUGGGCGUAAGGCGUGCGUAGGCUGUUUCGUAAGUCGUGUGUGAAAGGCGCGGGCUCAACCCGCGGACGGCACAUGAUACUGCGAGACUAGAGUAAUGGAGGGGGAACCGGAAUUCGCGGUGUAGCAGUGAAAUGCGUAGAUAUCGAGAGGAACACUCGUGGCGAAGGCGGGUUCCUGGACAUUAACUGACGCUGAGGCACGAAGGCCAGGGGAGCGAAAGGGAUUAGAUACCCUUGUAGUC
rnacentral:rRNA from 1 species